ACCAGACUGACUUUUUCACCUGUCAGAUACAAAGCACAUCCAGCUUUACGUUUCAGCACAUAGAGAUAAACUAUGGUGGCCAGACAGUGCUGCUAGGUCCUCUGCCUUUAGUUCAUCAGGUCCUUCUGAUAGUGCGUUUGAUGCUGAUACCUUGUGUCAUAGGUGUGUUAGUGUUUAUCUGUUGCUGGCAAAGGAGACGCACCGCUGA